rnacentral:ncRNA from 2 species
CACAAACUUUAGGGGUGCCAUUGGCUGAGAUUAUACCCUUUGAACUUGAACCGGAUAAUGCCGGCGAAAGAAAAAGUGCCGCUUUUCAU